CGUGGAAGAGGCUGGAGUGGUCUUAUUUAGUGAACCGCGCCGUGGUGUGUUGAAAAAGUGAAGCGCAAUAGCAUAAAGCGCAAUUAAAUUGUGGUAGGCGACUAGUGCGAGUAGAAACGAAGAUUAGAAGAUUCGUAGCAGCAUCGGUUUAUUACCGACACAUCGCACCUUUCGUUACGACCGCUCUUAGACCCCACCUAUCGGCUGCAAAGUUUUCCCGGGGUGCACGUGGCCGGAAGAAGGCUGCGUCCGUAAGUUCCCGCGCCUUAGGCAGGCAAACCAACUGUAGUUCGAUCGUCGCGGUCCACGUCGACGAGAAGAAAGCUUUGGUCCGUGUAGAAUCCAUCGACGCCAUCGUACGCAUCAUCACCGGUCGCUUAACAUCUGCCGACGUCAUCGCGCGCACGGCCGGUGCGGCCCUACAUCAGCGUCCUGACGGCGAGACUUACUAGCGGCAUUAUCGUCUUGCGCGCCAACGGACCACCGAAGCGUAUGCACCACGCUUAGCGGAAGUCUACGAAUCAGCGAGGGAGGAGAAUCCAUAUGCUGACAUCACAUCACGGCCGUGAUCGUUUUCCGUCGCCGCCUCCCGUCCAUGCUCAUCGUAAAUCCU